ensembl:lncRNA
UACAUUCUGAUCUGACACACACACACCAGUACCUCCCUACAUUCUGAUCUGACACACACACACCAGUACCUCCCUACAUUCUGAUCUGAGACACACACACACCAGUACCUCCCUACAUUCUGAUCUGAGACACACACACACACCAGUACCUCCCUACAUUCUGAUCUGACACACACACACCAGUACCUCCCUACAUUCUGAUCUGACACACACACACCAGUACCUCCCUACAUUCUGAUCUGAGACACACACACACCAACACACACACACACCAGUACCUCCCUACAUUCUGAUCUGAGACACACACACACACACACCAGUACCUCCCUACAUUCUGAUCUGAGACACACACACACACCAGUACCUCCCUACAUUCUGAUCUGAGACACACACACACACAGUACCUCCCUACAUUCUGAUCUGAGACACACACACACACCAGUACCUCCCUACAUUCUGAUCUGACACACACACACACACACCAGUACCUCCCUACAUUCUGAUCUGACACACACACACACACACACCAGUACCUCCCUACAUUCUGAUCUGACACACACACACACACACACCAGUACCUCCCUACAUUCUGAUCUGAACACACACACACACACACCAGUACCUCCCUACAUUCUGAUCUGAACACACACACACACACACCAGUACCUCCCUACAUUCUGAUCUGAACACACACACACACACCAGUACCUCCCUACAUUCUGAUCUGAACACACACACACACACACCAGUACCUCCCUACAUUCUGAUCUGAACACACACACACACACACCAGUACCUCCCUACAUUCUGAUCUGAACACACACACACACCAGUACCUCCCUACAUUCUGAUCUGACACACACACACCAGUACCUCCCUACAUUCUGAUCUGACACACACACACACACGUCAUCUUUAUCUUCUAAUCCCACGUACCCAUCCACAGCUUCUCUCCGAUCCACAGUUACUGUACAAACACAUGUAUCUUCUAAUUUGAGAUUGACAGCUCUUCUUUCAAUAGCUGAGCGAUGCCAUGUCCAGUCCUUCUCCAUUGGGAACGGGUAAAUGUGCUCCAACUCCCAUUGUGUUUGUCUCUUCAUGGAUAGAUUCUAAAUACCAGGCAUCCUCUACCGCUGGCGUUCAACUAGUAACUUAACAAGGUGUUGGUUUAUUUCUGAAAGAUACUGCUACUUCUAUAACACAUAUGGGUCAACGUGACUUCAGAAGAGCACACUGGUUCCUCCUCUGAGACAUUCAGCCAGCCAGCCAACUCCACUAAGGAAUGACGGGCUAUUGGAUGGCUGCUUGCCGUUUUUAACCAAUCAUCGGGCACAGUCUAUUUUGCCCUUAAAAAUCACAGGAAGUGAACGUGCCAUCAGCAGGUUCACUUUAGACAGAAACGCGUUCCAUCUCUCAUCCUUUUGACUUGUAUAGCCGGAGUGGAUCAGAUAUUUAUUUGAGUCCGGUGUGAGUCCGUCACCCCAUUUGAAAGGUAUUUGUCCCUAGCUGGUUGCUUGUUCUGACAAUGAACAAUACUGUCUUGAUUGGUUGAGUGUUUUAUUUUUUAUUUUUUUGUAGUCGCUAUAGAAGUGAAGCAACUCUUUACAUUCAGCAGUUUAAGUGUGUGUGUCUCUAAUGGACCCCUAUUCACUAAGUAGUACACUUAGUUUGACCAUGGAACCCUAUUCACUAAAUAGUGCACUUAGUUUGACCAUGGAACCCUAUUCACUAAGUAGUGCACUUAGUUUGACCAUGGACCCCUAUUCACUAAAUAGUGCACUUAGUUUGACCAUGGACCCCUAUUCACUAAGUAGUGCACUUAGUUUGACCAUGGACCCCACU